rnacentral:rRNA from 1 species
GACGAACGCUGGCGGCGUGCCUAAUACAUGCAAGUCGAACGCUGAAGCGAGGAGCUUGCUCUUCUUGGAUGAGUUGCGAACGGGUGAGUAACGCGUAGGUAACCUGCCUGGUAGCGGGGGAUAACUAUUGGAAACGAUAGCUAAUACCGCAUAACAACAGUUGUUGCAUGACAGCUGUUUAAAAGAUGCAAUUGCAUCACUACCAGAUGGACCUGCGUUGUAUUAGCUAGUUGGUGAGGUAACGGCUCACCAAGGCGACGAUACAUAGCCGACCAGAAAGGGGGCGCUCCCAAGCUGGGCUGGGGGCACGGCCCAGCAUCCUGCGAGUGGCAGCAGUAGGGGAUCUUCGGGAAUGGGAGGAAUGCUGAACAAGCAACGCCGGGUGAGUGAAGGAGGCUGUCGGGUCGCGAAGCUCUGUUGUAAGUGAAGAUCGGGUGUGAGAGUGGAAAGUUCACACUGUGACGGUACCGUACCAGAAAGCGACGGCUAACUACGUG